rnacentral:rRNA from 1 species
GAACGCUGGCGGCGUGCUUAACACAUGCAAGUCGAACGGUAAAGGCCCUGCUUUUGUGGGGUGCUCGAGUGGCGAACGGGUGAGUAACACGUGAGUAACCUGCCCUUGACUUUGGGAUAACUUCAGGAAACUGGGGCUAAUACCGGAUAGGAGCUCCUGCUGCAUGGUGGGGGUUGGAAAGUUUCGGCGGUUGGGGAUGGACUCGCGGCUUAUCAGCUUGUUGGUGGGGUAGUGGCUUACCAAGGCUUUGACGGGUAGCCGGCCUGAGAGGGUGACCGGCCACAUUGGGACUGAGAUACGGCCCAGACUCCUACGGGAGGCAGCAGUGGGGAAUAUUGCACAAUGGGCGGAAGCCUGAUGCAGCAACGCCGCGUGCGGGAUGACGGCCUUCGGGUUGUAAACCGCUUUCGCCUGUGACGAAGCGUGAGUGACGGUAAUGGGUAAAGAAGCACCGGCUAACUACGUGCCAGCAGCCGCGGUGAUACGUAGGGUGCGAGCGUUGUCCGGAUUUAUUGGGCGUAAAGGGCUCGUAGGUGGUUGAUCGCGUCGGAAGUGUAAUCUUGGGGCUUAACCCUGAGCGUGCUUUCGAUACGGGUUGACUUGAGGAAGGUAGGGGAGAAUGGAAUUCCUGGUGGAGCGGUGGAAUGCGCAGAUAUCAGGAGGAACACCAGUGGCGAAGGCGGUUCUCUGGGCCUUUCCUGACGCUGAGGAGCGAAAGCGUGGGGAGCGAACAGGCUUAGAUACCCUGGUAGUCCACGCUGUAAACGGUGGGUACUAGGUGUGGGGUCCAUUCCACGGGUUCCGUGCCGUAGCUAACGCUUUAAGUACCCCGCCUGGGGAGUACGGCCGCAAGGCUAAAACUCAAAGGAAUUGACGGGGCCCCGCACAAGCGGCGGAGCAUGCGGAUUAAUUCGAUGCAACGCGUAGAACCUUACCUGGGUUUGACAUGGAUCGGGAGUGCUCAGAGAUGGGUGUGCCUCUUUUGGGGUCGGUUCACAGGUGGUGCAUGGCUGUCGUCAGCUCGUGUCGUGAGAUGUUGGGUUAAGUCCCGCAACGAGCGCAACCCUUGUUCACUGUUGCCAGCACGUUAUGGUGGGGACUCAGUGGAGACCGCCGGGGUCAACUCGGAGGAAGGUGGGGAUGACGUCAAGUCAUCAUGCCCCUUAUGUCCAGGGCUUCACGCAUGCUACAAUGGCUGGUACAGAGAGUGGCGAGCCUGUGAGGGUGAGCGAAUCUCGGAAAGCCGGUCUCAGUUCGGAUUGGGGUCUGCAACUCGACCUCAUGAAGUCGGAGUCGCUAGUAAUCGCAGAUCAGCAACGCUGCGGUGAAUACGUUCCCGGGGCUUGUACACACCGCCCGUCAAGUCAUGAAAGUUGGUAACACCCGAAGCCGGUGGCCUAACCGUUGUGGGGGAGCCGUCGAAGGUGGGACU